CGUGUGGUUCUAUUUUGUUGGUUUCUAGGACCGCCGUAAUGAUUAAUAGGGAUAGUCGGGGGCAUCAGUAUUCAAUUGUCAGAGGUGAAAUUCUUGGAUUUAUUGAAGACUAACUACUGCGAAAGCAUUUGCCAAGGAUGUUUUCAUUAAUCAGUGAAUGAAAGUUAGGGGAUCGAAGACGAUCAGAUACCGUCGUAGUCUUAACCGUAAACUAUGCCGACUAGGGAUCGGGCGAUGUUCUUUUUCUGACUCGCUCGGCACCUUACGAGAAAUCAAAGUUUUUGGGUUCUGGGGGGAGUAUGGUCGCAAGGCCGAAACUUAAAGAAAUUGACGGAAGGGCACCACCAGGCGUGGAGCCUGCGGCUUAAUUUGACUCAACACGG
rnacentral:rRNA from 1 species